AAGCUCGUAGUUGAAUUUCGGUAAAUAAAAAUUUAACAUCCAUCUCUAAGAUGUGAUUUAAUUUUAUUUCCUUCCUUUUGAAUACACUCCUUAAUAUUAUUUUAAGGGUUCAGUGUUUCAAAUCGUUUACUGUGAAGAAAUUAGAGUGUUCAAAGCAGGCGUAACCUAGCCUUUGAAUAUAUUAGCAUGGGAUAAUGAAAUAGGACUUUAGUCCUACUUUCGUUGGUUUCUAGGGCUGAAGUAAUGAUUAAUAGGGAUAGUUGGG
rnacentral:rRNA from 1 species